GGGCAACUGAUGUGUGGGGACUAGGCUGCUUGCUUUGGAAGUCUUCAAUGGCCCGCUGCCGCAGCUCUCUGCCUGAAAACUACCCACAAGUUACCCAAGGCAGUGGUGGCAUUGUACUGUGAGUUGGUCAGCGCCAAUGCACGCAAUCGACCGAACCCCAACACUUUUGUUGCGAAUUGCAGCAAGCCGAAUGGCUUCAUGGACAACGACUUUGUUGCCAUCAAUUUACAGCUGGACGAAUUUCAGAUCCUGGAUGCGAAUGAGAAGGAGACACUGUUCUCCAAGCUGCAAGAGCACAUGGACACGUUUCCCGAGUGCUUCCAGCGCCACAAGUUCCUGCCCGUGCUGU